rnacentral:tRNA from 1 species
UAUUAAGUUAGAAAAAUAAAAUUCUGACUGAAAAUACUCGUGUCGGUGGUUCGAUUCCGCCCCUGGGCACCA